AUACGGAGGGGACAAGCGUUAUUCGGAAUCACUGGGCGUAAAGGACGCGUAGGCGGGUUAUUAAGUCGGGUGUGAAAUCCAAUGGCUCAACCAUUGAACUGCAUUCGAAACUGAUAACCUAGAGUAUGGAAGGGGCAGGUGGAAUUAGUGGUGUAGGGGUAAAAUCCGUAGAUACCACUAGGAAUACCGAAAGCGAAGGCGACCUGCUGGGACAUUACUGACGCUGAGGCGUGAAAGCGUGGGGAGCAAACAGGAUUAGAAACCCCAGUAGUCC
rnacentral:rRNA from 1 species